AACGGUCUAUACCUGCGGUACCUGCGGAGGGAUCAUUACUGAGUUAGGGUUCCCUCUUCGGGGCCCGACCUCCCAACCCUGUGUCUACUACACCUUGUCGUUGCUUCGGCGGACCGGUUGACCAACUGGUCUCGACCGCCGGGGUGGCUCAGCCGCCCUGGAGAGCGUCCGCCGACGGCCUACCACAAAACUCUUGUUCCUAAACCUGUCGUCUGAAUUUUGAUUGGUAAAUAUAAACCA
rnacentral:misc_RNA from 1 species